ACGGAAGGCAGCAGUCGGGAAUAUUGCGCAAUGGAGGAAACUCUGACGCAGUGACGCCGCGUAUAGGAAGAAGGUUUUCGGAUUGUAAACUAUUGUCGUUAGGGAAGAGAAAGGACGGUACCUAAGGAGGAAGCCCCGGCUAACUAUGUGCCAGCAGCCGCGGUAAUACAUAGGGGGCGAGCGUUAUCCGGAAUUAUUGGGUGUAAAGGGUGCGUAGACGGGAAAUUAAGUUAGUUGUGAAAUCCCCUGGCUCAACUGGGGAACUGCAACUAAGACUGAUUUUCUUGAGUACUGGAGAGGAAAGUGGAAUUCCUAGUGUAGCGGUGAAAUGCGUAGAUAUUAGGAGGAACACCAGUGGCGAAGGCGACUUUCUGGACAGAAACUGACGUUGAGGCACGAAAGUGUGGGGAGCAAACAGGAUUAGAUACCCUGGUA
rnacentral:rRNA from 1 species